rnacentral:rRNA from 1 species
CAAUAGCGUAUAUUAAAGUUGUUGCGGUAAAAAAGCUCGUAGUUGGAUUUCUGUUGAGAAUGACCGGUCCACACAACGUGUGCGCAUCUGGUUCAGUCUCGGCAUCCUCUCGACAGGCUGCUCUGCGCUUGAUUGCGUGGACAGAAUAUCGGGACUUUUACUUUGAGGAAAUUAGAGUGUUUACGGCAGGCUAUCGCCAGAAUACAUUAGCAUGGAAUAAUACUAUAGGAUCUUGAUCCUAUUUUGUUUGGUUUCUUAGGAGCAAGAUAAUGAUUAAUAGGGACGAAUUAGGGGGUCGAUUCGUAUUGACGAGUCAGAGGUGAAAUUACUUGGUAUUUCGUUCACGACGAACUACUGCGAAAGCAUUUGCCAAGGAUGUUUUCUAUUGAUCAAGAAACGAAAGUAAAGGGGAGUCGAAGACGAUCAGAUACCAU